AGAAACUAUAGAGGAUAGCCCAGACUUGUCCCACCUGAACAGUCGAGAAGCUGGGGUAUUUAUCCUUCAACUCUCAUCACCUAAGGGCUAUUCUGGCCCAGCUAGCCUGCCCCACGGAGAGUGCCCUAAGCUGUGGAGUCCUGAGUGCAUCCUUUCAGCAUAUGCUAAGAUGGAUACCUUGAUCUGUGGAUCCCAAACUUCCCAUUUUAGAAGAAGCAUGUGGAAAACAGAUGACAAAACCUUACUUAAGCCUCAGGUCUAAGUCUCAGACUCCAAGUCAGUCUUUUGCCAGAGCUCCAUCAUGGAUUAUGAGGUUCAUGCUCAACUGCUAGUAAAAUGGAACUUUGCUUCAGUUGCUACUAGAAUCCUUGUUUGUAAGAUUUCCACUGAAACCCCACAAGGAGGUGGGAUUAACAAGGUUCCUAAAUGUGAGACCUGAAACUAUAAAAAUUCCUAGAAGAGAAUAUAGACAGCAAUUUCUCUGAUGCCGUCGUAGCAACAUUUUUCUAGCUAUGUCUCCUAAGGCAAGGAAAACAAAAUCAAAAAUAAACUAUUAGGAUUAUAUCAAAAUAAAAACCUUUG